UUGGUUGGUGGUCCAAUCAGUAGGAA
rnacentral:piRNA from 1 species